AAAAGCCUCCCCCACACCAUGAUAGAGACAGAUCCACAGAUGUAGCGAUAGAUGUGUGCGUAUACAUACACACGCGUGUUCUCCCCACAACAAGAUUUCUAGCUGUCUCUCUCUGCCGUCUCCCGUGCUGCUCGGGCGGCCUGGGCUUUCCGUUGCACGGUCCCUUUAGGCUGGCCCUCGGGCCGCCAGGUGGGCCGGAUGCGUCACCUGGGGCAUCCUUUCCCGCUGCCCCGCUCUGGGGCCGCCUCCCGGGACUCGCCGGGCGCGGGCUCGGGGCGCCGCCGGCAGAGCCCGCGAGCUCGUCACUUCCCUUGCAUCCCCGGGCCACGGUUCCCAGGCGGGGCGGAAGUCCUCCUCCGCCCUGCACCGGAGCCGGCCCUUCCCGCAGGCUCUCGUCCCGGCUUAUCCGGGUCAUCGGUGGCCCGGGGCCCGCCGGCGCGGAGCGUCCCUGGAAAGCUCCGAGGCACGUGGCGAAGGAGUGUUGUGAAGCGCUUAGGUGCUGGGUGCGGAGGUGGGAGAAAGGGCCGACGACGCUCCACACCCCGCUGCAGGCUCGGCCGCUCCCAGCCGGCGGGGAAAUCCCCGUCUAGAAAACGAAAUGGACAAAACUUCUUCAUGACGAACAUCUGGACCCUUACCCACGGUGUUCUAGGCACCACAGAGCCUUCCAGUGGGUAACCGACAAACCGAACGGCUCCCUCCACGUGGCGGCCCAUCCUCCAAGCUCAAACUCUGGCAAAAAAGCAAGCAGUGCCUGCAUAAACCUAGUGAAUAAAUCACCCAGAUUUUUUUUCAAAGAUUUUAUUAUUCCUUUUUCUCCCCAAAGCUCCCCAGUACAUGGUUAUGUAUUUCUAGUUGUG
rnacentral:lncRNA from 1 species